GACGGGGGGGGCAAGUGUUCUUCGGAAUGACUGGGCGUAAAGGGCACGUAGGCGGUGAAUCGGGUUGAAAGUGAAAGUCGCCAAAAAAGUGGCGGAAUGCUCUCGAAACCAAUUCACUUGAGUGAGACAGAGGAGAGUGGAAUUUCGUGUGUAGGGGGUGAAAUCCGUAGAUCUACGAAGGAACGCCAAAAGCGAAGGCAGCUCUCUGGGUCCCUACCGACGCUGGGGUGCGAAAGCAUGGGGGAGCGAACAGG
rnacentral:rRNA from 1 species